rnacentral:rRNA from 1 species
UACGGAGGAUCCAAGCGUUAUCCGGAAUCAUUGGGUUUAAAGGGUCCGUAGGCGGUCUUAUAAGUCAGUGGUGAAAGCCCAUCGCUCAACGAUGGAACUGCCAUUGAUACUGUAAGACUUGAAUGCUUAGGAAGUAACUAGAAUAUGUAGUGUAGCGGUGAAAUGCUUAGAUAUUACAUGGAAUACCAAUUGCGAAGGCAGGUUACUACUAAGUGAUUGACGCUGAUGGACGAAAGCGUGGGGAGCGAAC